UACGUAGGGUGCAGGCGUUAAUCGGAAUUACUGGGCGUAAAGCGUGCGCAGGCGGUUUGUUAAGACAGGUGUGAAAUCCCCGGGCUUAACCUGGGAACUGCGCUUGUUACUGGCAGACUUGAGUGUGGCAGAGGGGGGUGGAAUUCCAGGUGUAGCAGUGAAAUGCGUAGAGAUCUGGAGGAACACCGAUGGCGAAGGCAGCCCCCUGGGUUAACACUGACGCUCAUGCACGAAAGCGUGGGGAGCAAACAGGAUUAGAUACCCUGGUAGUCCACGCCCUAAACUAUGUCAACUGGUUGUCGGGGAAGCAAUUCCUUGGUAACGAAGCUAACGCGUGAAGUUGACCGCCUGGGGAGUACGGCCGCAAGGUUAAA
rnacentral:rRNA from 1 species